UAGUCAUAUGCUUGUCUCAAAGAUUAAGCCAUGCAUGUCUAAGUAUAAGCACUUAUACCGUGAAAUUGCGAAUGGCUCAUUAAAUCAGUUAUCGUUUAUUUGAUAGUACCUUUACCUGGAUAACCGUGGUAAUUCUAGAGCUAAUACAUGCUAAAAACCCCGACUUCGGGAGGGGUGUAUUUAUUAGAUAAAAAACCAAUGCCCUUCGGGGCUCCUUGGUGAUUCAUAAUAACUUAACGAAUCGCAUGGCCUUGCGCCGGCGAUGGUUCAUUCAAAUUUCUGCCCUAUCAACUUUCGAUUGUAGGAUAGAGGCCUACAAUGGUCUUAACGGGUAACGGGGAAUUAGGGUUCUAUUCCGGAGAGGGAGCCUGAGAAACGGCUACCACAUCCAAGGAAGGCAGCAGGCGCGCAAAUUACCCAAUCCCGAUACGGGGAGGUAGUGACAAUAAAUACUGAUACGGGGCUCUUUCGGGUCUCGUAAUUGGAAUGAGUACAAUCUAAAUCCCUUAACGAGGAACAAUU
rnacentral:rRNA from 1 species